AUUGAACGCUGGCGGCAUGCUUUACACAUGCAAGUCGAACGGUAACAGGGAGCUUGCUCCGCUGACGAGUGGCGAACGGGUGAGCAAUGCGUCGGAACGUGCCGAGUAGUGGGGGAUAACGCAGCGAAAGUUGUGCUAAUACCGCAUACGUACUGAGGUAGAAAGUGGGGGACCUUCGGGCCUCACGCUAUUCGAGCGGCCGACGUCUGAUUAGCUAGUAGGUGAGGUAAAGGCUCACCUAGGCGACGGUCAGUAUCGGGUCUGAGAGGAUGGUCCGCCACAAUGGGACUGAGACACGGCCCAGACUCCUGCGGGAGGCAGCAGUGGGGAAUUUUGGAAAAGGGGCGAAAGGCUGAUUCAGCCAUGCCGCGUGUCUGAAGAAGGCCUUCGGGUUGUAAAGGACUUUUGUCGGGGAGGAAAUCCCCAGCGUUAAUACCGCUGGGGGAUGACAGUACCUGAAGAAUAAGCACCGGCUAACUACGUGCCAGCCGCCGCGGUAAUAC
rnacentral:rRNA from 1 species